rnacentral:lncRNA from 1 species
AUGUCUCUUCUUACAAGGAUGCCAAUCUUAUUGAUCAGCAUCUCACCCUUACGAAAUAGUUUAAUUAAUUACCUCCAGAAAGGAGAUAUCCAAAUAUAGUUACACUGGGGACCGAGAAUUCAACAUAUGAAUGGGGGUGGUGGUGUCAAGGUUAAAAACACUGAGCCCACAAUAGAAAUGAUUGUAUCACCAGCCAACUUAACAUUUUACUCCAUGUUGUGAUAAGACUAGCAGUCUCUAUAGCUAGAAUGGCUAAAUGGAAAGGCUACAUGGUGCUGAAUUUCUCUUAGUGAAUCACAGCCAUAUCAGGGCCCUGUAUCUUUAAGAUUAUGUAAACUUCUGUGGUAGCCAGAAUAAUGCCCCCCCCCCAAAACGCAUCCACGCCAUUAACAUUGGAACCUGUAAAUAUAUUAUGUUGCAUGGAAAAAGAAACUUUGCAGGUAUGAUUAAUAUUAAGAGUCUUAAAAAGGGGGCAGGGUUAUCUUGGAUUAUUUAGAUGAGCUCAGUGUAAUCACAAGGAUUUUUAAAAGCAGAAGAGGAAGGCAGAAGAGGAGAGUCAGAGAGAGAUGUGACUACAGGUCAGACGAGAUCUGUGUUUAGACUGUUUGUUAUACAAGUGUAAAAUAAUAUAUUUGUGUGGUUUUGAGCCACUAAGUUUGUGAUUAUUCAUUAUGAAAGUAAUAGAAAACUAAUACACUUGUCACAGGCUCUCAUCUUCCUUCCCAAAAAGUGGGCCUAGCUCUCCCAGUCGAGAUCCAUACCUCAAAUUUCUGCUUUAUGUGAACUGUAUACCCUGUCAUGACUGGCUAGACUCAAGAUGCAUGGGAUCUGAUUCAGGACACUUUAUGGGCUGUCUACACAAUUUCAUGAUUAAAAAUUCCAGGAGAUAAUUUAAUAUUUGUUUCUGAUGCCAAGUAUCCUAGACUCUAAGAAUUCCUUGAGGAUAGGAACUACUUGUUUGCACUUCUGUCUUCAGAGCCUAGAAUCUCGGUGCUUGACAUAGGUAGGCACUCUAAAAAUACUUGUUGAAUAUUAAAUAAAGUAAGUAUCACAAACUCUGAUUGAAAUUUGACAGAAUAAGCCUUAAGAUAUUUUAUGAUUUUUCACUGUCCAUUUUAUUAUAAGUAAAUAUAUUACAUUUGUUGAGAUCUUUUUUUUUUUUUUAGUCUACACCUAGAAACCCAAGCAAAUGAAAGGAUUUGUAACAUACAUAAUUAAGAAGAGCUAGCAUGGUAUCUGCUUCAAGUACUCCAAAGUCCAGGAUAGUUCCCACACUAGGAUCCUCUUCUUUGUUUGAAAAAUGGUUCCAUUACUAAAACUGAAAAUUAAAAAUAUAGAUCACUGAACUAGAUAGUCCUGAUGAUUCCUUUCUGUUCUAAUAGCUUUUUGUUUCAUGUGAGAAUGUCACUUACUCACCCAGGGAAAACAACAUUAAAACAUAUUUCCAUUUACAUAAGAAAUUGCUCCAAAGACACACCAACAAAAAAGAAUUUAUCAUAUUCUCUUUUUAAAACAUGCAUCCUCCACAUUUAAAGUCAAUAGAUAUUAAAAACCUCAUUUUUAAGAUAUACGACUAUAAUAUAAAUUUGAAUAUACUAUGGGUAAAAUUAUCUCCUUCCUUCCCUUUCCCCUGGGUUUUAGCAAAAAUAGAAACUGUGAUAAAUAUAUUUUAUCACUUAACAUCCUAUAAUGUAGCCAAGCACUAAACUAGACACUAUGAAUAUGAUGUAUUUUCUGAAUCAAAAGUUGAUCUAAGAGUUCCUGUCAUGAACCAUGACAUAGGUAGGCACCAAAUGGUAACAAAUCCGACUAGUAUCCGUGAGAACGUGGGUUUGAUCUCCGACCUUGUUCAGUGGGUUAAAGAUCCACUGUGAGCUGUGGUGUAGGUCACAGACACAGCUCAGAUCCCAUGGCAUUGCUGUGGCUGUGGUGUAGGCCAGCAGCUGCAGCUCCAAUUGGAACCCUAGCUUGGGAACUUCCAUAUUCCAUGUGUACAGCUCUAAAAAAACAAACAAACAAAAAAUGUCUAAAAUAUAUCUGGCCGUUGACUUCAAAUCAGUAUGAUUAUCUAUUAUUAGCUCCAUAAUUAGAGCAGAAAACACUAUUCUGUAAAUAUUAAAACAGUUCACAUCACCAAAGAAUUUCAGUAUUACUUCAAUCAUGAGAUCCAGCUUGUUGGACCUGGUUUGCAUACUGUAGUGUUAGAAUCUUGAGACAUGUUGAUGGUGUGUGGAACAACAUGGUAAAAUAUUUAAAAUUACAACUGGCCAGAAAAUGUGGAAUGUAAGAUCUUCUCAAAAGGAAGAGUUGAAGGUCAGAAAGAAAAAGACAAAUACCAUAUGAUAUCACUUAUAUGUGGAAUCUAAAAUAUUAUAAAAAUGAACUUAUCUAUAAAACAGAAACAGCCUCAGAGAACAGACUUGCAGUUGUCAAGGGGGUGGGAGGUGAGGAAGGGAUGCGAUUGGCAGAUGGACACCAUUAUAUAUAGAACAGAUUAACAACAAGGUUCUACUGUAGAGCACAGGGAACUCACUCAAUAUCCUGUGUAUAACCAUAAUGGAAAAGAACAUGAAAAAGAAUGUAUGUAUAACUGGAUCAUUUCGCUAUAGAGCAGAAAUUAACACAAUAUUGUAAAUCAACUAUACUUCAAUAAACUUUUUUAAAAGGAAGAGUUGAAGGGAUAGAUGAGAAAGCAGAUAAAUUAUGAGACUUAAUUCUGAUUUACAAGCAGCUGAUAUAUAAUGUCAAGUAAAAUAACAGGUAACCAGAGGAAAUAAACACUAGAAACCAAAAUACAAUUGAGUGCCAGGUUGCACAGCUGAGAUGAUGAAAGCUGCAGAAAAAAGGAGAAAAACACUUAAUAUGAAACGUCCACUUCAGAUAUUUCAUAUUAACUUCCAUUUGAGUUCUGAGUGAUUUCAUACAUUUUCUCUUUCCAUAUCCAUUCAUCUGAGCAUUCCGGUCAGCUCAGUAACUGGGGUUCUUAUUAAGGAAAAACCUCACCCCUCAUCUCUUUUUUCUAAAGGACUUUUCAUCCUACUCAGCUUAGAACAGAGCCACCUUCAAAAUGACUUCAGCAGAUACAAAACUUAAAUCAUUUAAAGGAAAUGUAUUACUGAAAGAAAUGUGGUAACUAAAAAGUAGAGGCACUAAUCAUAAUAAGUACAUAUUUUAUUAUACACUAGCUACCAGGGUGGAGUGGGGGAGGAGCACUUUGGCCUACUUAAAAAAAUACAUUAAGAAAGGUUUAGAGUUCAUUGAAAUGUGACAGGCAAAUGAACUAUUGAAAUUGUUAAGGAAAAGGUAAUUAUAUGUGACAAGUUAUAAUUUGUGAGGCAAGGCCAGAAAAGCAAACCAGUGUAUCUCACUCAACUCCAACAGAGAUCAAGUCAAGUGCAUUCAAUGAAGUUAAACCCACGCCACAUGCUAAUCUACUUUUAGUUGAAAACAGUGUUUUGAAAAACCAAGUUCUUAUGUCUAACUUUCAAAAUCUCUAGAUUUUUCCUCAGUCUUCCAAUAGCUGACUUUGAAAUAAGUAUUUCGACUAUUUAAGAAUGCAGUUAAUUUAACAGGAUCCUUUUUCCAGUUAUGUUUCCAAUUUAACAUUACAAUUUUUGCUUACAGGUAUUACAAAUAAUCUGAAAAAUCUUCCAACUGAAGUCACUAUAUCCAACAAAUAGAAAUCCUGAAAGAAAUGUAGGAUGAGCAAUGUUCCAAUGAUCAUGAAAAUGCUUUAAGUUUUGCCAAAAUGAGACAGAAGCAUUCAUUUAAUAAUCAAAAAGAAAGUUGUUAUUCAGUCAAAAAAACAAUUACAAAUGGACAUUUAAACCCAUAGUGAUUGCAUCUAGAAAUAACCAAAAGUUCACAAUUGCAAACAUUCCCACUUAAAACUGCAAAUAUGUAUUGAAAAGCUAUGAUUAAGAAAUCUACUAUGGAUGGUGAACGACACUGAGAAGUAUAAGGCAGAUCUUGCCUUCAGGGAAUUUAUAAUUUAGUAAUUGAUGUGCAAAAUAGACAAUAUUUUUCAGUCUAGACAAUAUGGUAUUGACCCAUUUCUCCCUGCUUCUGCCCAAUGAGCCCACUAUGAACCCUGGAAAUAACAUAAAAGGCAACCCAAGGAGAACUCUGAAAAGUGGUAAGAAGAAAGAGAACUUAUGUGGGAUCCUGACAGGAGGAACAACAUAGCAGCAGGACAUCCACCCAAGAGAAGAAGGCAACCCAGACGUAUGUUUCCAACCCCCAACCUAGGGAGGAGUCUCUUUCCUCCCCAUGAUUAAACUGGGGUCCCUCUGACAACAUCAAGCAAGCCCAACACCACUGGGGUGAUCAAGAGCCCUAAUAACAAAAAAGUGGCCAGGCCCUCCGCUACCCCCUCACAUGUCCCUCAAGAAUGCAUUAAGAAAUGACCCAACUAUAUGCUAUUUAUAAGAAACUCAUUUUAAAUUCAACAUAGGCAGUUUGAAAAUAAAAGAAUGCUAAAUGAUAUGCCAUGGAAACAUUAAAAAAAAUGUUAAGCAGGAAUGGCUAUGUUAGUUAGUGAUAAAUUAGGCUUCAGAGAAAAGAAAAUUACUUAGAGACAAAAAGGGGGGGUGACAAAAUGACAAAUUUAUAGUUAAAGAUGAGUACCUCAAUACCCUCUUCUCAGCAUGAGACAGAACUACUAGAAACAGAAGGAGCAAGGAUUUAAAAGACCUACACAACACAAUCAACUAAGAGGUUCUAAUUGACCUAUACAGAACAUUCUAGCACUAUCAACAGAAUACCUCCUUUUUUUCCCAAGUACCCAUGGAAUAUUCACCAAGAUAGGCUACAUCAUGGGCUAGAAAACAAACCUCAGGAAAUUUUAAGGAACUGAUAUCACUCAGAGUAUGUUUCUAAACAUAACAGAAUCAAACAAGAGAUCAAUUAAAAAAGAGGUACAAUAGGAAAAUCUCUUAAGGCAUGUAAAUUAAACAAAACUAAAUAACUGAUGCAUCAAAGAGGAAAUCUCAAGAAAAAUGGAAAAUAGAUUGGACUGAAUGAAAAUGAAAGUAUGACAUCAAAAUUUGUGGGACAGAACUAAAGCAGUGCUCAGAGGGACUUUGCUUUUGUUUCUGUUUUUUUUGGCUGCACCCACAGGAUACAAAAGUUCCCAGGGGCAAAGGAUCAAAUCCGAGCCUCAGCUUCAAUCUCCACCACAGCUGUGGCAACUCAAGAUCCUUAACCCUCUGUUCCAGGCCAGGCAUCAAAUCCACAUUGCCACAGAGACAACAGGAGAUCCAUAACCCACUUUGCCACAGCAGUAACUCCCUGUGGGGAUAUUUUUUAAUCACUAAAUACUUACAUUUGAAAUAGGGAAAGUCUCAAAUCAAUAAUCUAAGUUCUUACCUCAAAAUAACUGGAAAGAAUGUAAAUAAUCCCCCCCCAAACAAGAAAGGUCAUAAUAAAUAUCAGAGUAAAAAAAUCAAUGAAGUUGAAAAUAGGAAAAUUGAAGAAAAUUAAUGAAACAAAAAGCUGGUUCUUUGAAAAAAAACAAGUUGGUAAACUUCUAGCAAGACAAAAAAAAA